rnacentral:tRNA from 1 species
GCUCGGUUAGCUCAGUCGGUAGAGCAUGAGACUCUUAUUCUCAGGGUUGUGGGUUUGAGUCUCCCGUUAGGCG